GAUGAACGCUGGCGGCGUGCCUAAUACAUGCAAGUCGAGCGAACGGACGAGAAGCUUGCUUCUCUGAUGUUAGCGGCGGACGGGUGAGUAACACGUGGAUAACCUACCUAUAAGACUGGGAUAACUUCGGGAAACCGGAGCUAAUACCGGAUAAUAUUUUGAACCGCAUGGUUCAAAAGUGAAAGACGGUCUUGCUGUCACUUAUAGAUGGAUCCGCGCUGCAUUAGCUAGUUGGUAAGGUAACGGCUUACCAAGGCAACGAUGCAUAGCCGACCUGAGAGGGUGAUCGGCCACACUGGAACUGAGACACGGUCCAGACUCCUACGGGAGGCAGCAGUAGGGAAUCUUCCGCAAUGGGCGAAAGCCUGACGGAGCAACGCCGCGUGAGUGAUGAAGGUCUUCGGAUCGUAAAACUCUGUUAUUAGGGAAGAACAUAUGUGUAAGUAACUGUGCACAUCUUGACGGUACCUAAUCAGAAAGCCACGGCUAACUACGUGCCAGCAGCCGCGGUAAUACGUAGGUGGCAAGCGUUAUCCGGAAUUAUUGGGCGUAAAGCGCGCGUAGGCGGUUUUUUAGUCUGAUGUGAAAGCCCACGGGCUCAACCGUGGAGGGCCAUUGGAAACUGGAAAACUUGAGUGCAGAAGAGGAAAGUGGAAUUCCAUGUGUAGCGGUGAAAUGCGCAGAGAUAUGGAGGAACACCAGUGGCGAAGGCGACUUUCUGGUCUGUAACUGACGCUGAUGUGCGGAAGCGUGGGGAUCGAACAGGAUUAGAUACCCUGGUAGUCCACGCCGUAAACGAUGAGUGCUAAGUGUUAGGGGGUUUCCGCCCCUUAGUGCUGCAGCUAACGCAUUAAGCACUCCGCCUGGGGAGUACGACCGCAAGGUUGAAACUCAAAGGAAUUGACGGGGACCCGCACAAGCGGUGGAGCAUGUGGUUUAAUUCGAAGCAACGCGAAGAACCUUACCAAAUCUUGACAUCCUUUGACAACUCUAGAGAUAGAGCCUUCCCCUUCGGGGGACAAAGUGACAGGUGGUGCAUGGUUGUCGUCAGCUCGUGUCGUGAGAUGUUGGGUUAAGUCCCGCAACGAGCGCAACCCUUAAGCUUAGUUGCCAUCAUUAAGUUGGGCACUCUAAGUUGACUGCCGGUGACAAACCGGAGGAAGGUGGGGAUGACGUCAAAUCAUCAUGCCCCUUAUGAUUUGGGCUACACACGUGCUACAAUGGACAAUACAAAGGGCAGCGAAACCGCGAGGUCAAGCAAAUCCCAUAAAGUUGUUCUCAGUUCGGAUUGUAGUCUGCAACUCGACUACAUGAAGCUGGAAUCGCUAGUAAUCGUAGAUCAGCAUGCUACGGUGAAUACGUUCCCGGGUCU
rnacentral:rRNA from 1 species